GCGUCUGCAAAAUCAGACGCCGGGAUUGGCGUCCUGAAAACUGAAUGGAGAUACAAGACGCGCUGCGUCUUACGU
rnacentral:sRNA from 2 species